rnacentral:rRNA from 1 species
AGCGAACGCUGGCGGCAGGCCUAACACAUGCAAGUCGAGGGGUAUAGUUCUUCGGAACUAGAGACCGGCGCACGGGUGCGUAACGCGUAUGCAAUCUACCUUUUGCAGAGGGAUAGCCCAGAGAAAUUUGGAUUAAUACCUCAUAGUAUGUGAGAAUGGCAUCAUUUUCACAUUAAAGUCACAACGGCAAAAGAUGAGCAUGCGUCCCAUUAGCUAGUUGGUAAGGUAACGGCUUACCAAGGCAACGAUGGGUAGGGGUCCUGAGAGGGAGAUGCCCCACACUGGUACAGAGACACGGACCAGACGCGUACGGGAGGCAGCAGUGAGGAAUAUUGGAGAAUGGGCGCAAGCGUGAUCCAGCCAUGCCGCGUGCAGGAUGACGGUCCUAUGGAUUGUAAACUGCUUGUGUACAGGGAGAAACACUGGUUCGUGAACCAGCUUGACGGUACUGUAAGAAUAAGGAUCGGCUAACUCCGUGCCAGCCGCCGCGGUAAUAC